UGGCUCUGGCAUCGAUGAAGAACGCAGCGAAAUGCGAUAAGUAAUGUGAAUUGCAGAAUUCAGUGAAUCAUCGAAUCUUUGAACGCAUAUUGCGCCCACCAGUAUUCUGGUGGGCAUGCCUGUUCGAGCGUCAUAGAACCCGCCCUCCGGGCCUUGGGGCUCUUCUGCCCCGGGGCCCGGGUGUUGGGGAUCGUCCGCCCACCCAGCGGCGGCCGGCCCCGAAAUGGAGUGGCGGUCUCGCGGCGACCUCCUCUGCGCAGUAGUGAUACCUCGCAGCUGGAUAGACGCGCGGCCACGCCGUAAAACAACCAACCAAAUCAGUUGACCUCGAAUCAGGUAGGAAUACCCGCUGA
rnacentral:misc_RNA from 1 species